rnacentral:rRNA from 1 species
UACGUAGGGUCCGAGCGUUGUCCGGAAUUAUUGGGCGUAAAGGGCUCGUAGGCGGUUUGUCGCGUCGGGAGUGAAAACUCAGGGCUCAACCCUGAGCGUGCUUCCGAUACGGGCAGACUAGAGGUAUGCAGGGGAGAACGGAAUUCCUGGUGUAGCGGUGGAAUGCGCAGAUAUCAGGAGGAACACCGGUGGCGAAGGCGGCACUCUGGGCCGGUACUGACGCUGAGGAGCGAAAGCGUGGGGAGCGAACAGG